UACGAAGGGGGCUAGCGUUGCUCGGAAUUACUGGGCGUAAAGGGCGCGUAGGCGGAUAUCUAAGUUGGGGGUGAAAUCCCGGGGCUCAACCUCGGAAUUGCCUUCAAAACUGGAUAUCUUGAGUUCGGGAGAGGUGAGUGGAACUCCGAGUGUAGAGGUGAAAUUCGUAGAUAUUGGGAAGAACACCGGUGGCGAAGGCGGCGACCUGGUCCGAUACUGACGCUGAGGCGCGAAAGCGUGGGGAGCAAACAGG
rnacentral:rRNA from 1 species